rnacentral:rRNA from 1 species
GCUUGUCUCAAAGAUUAAGCCAUGCAAGUCUAAGUAUAAGCAAAACUAAUGCAAAACUGCGAAUGGCUCAUUAAAUCAGUUAUCGUUUAUUUGAUAGUACCUUACUACACGGAUAUCUGUGGUAAUUCUAGAGUUAAUACGUGCUAAAAACCCCGACUUCGGGAGGGGUGUAUUUAUUAGACUAAAAACCAACGCCCUUCGGGGCUCCUUGGUGAUUCAUAAUAACUCAACGAAUCGCAUGGCCUUGAGCCGGCGAUGGUUCAUUCAAAUUUCUGCCCUAUCAACUUUCGAUGCUAGGGUAGUGGCCUAGCAUGGUGACAACGGGUAACGGGGGAUUAGGGUUCUAUUCCGGAGAGGGAGCCCGAGAAACGGCUACCACAUCCAAGGAAGGCAGCAGGCGCGCAAAUUACCCAAUCCCGACACGGGGAGGUAGUGACAAUAAAUACUGAUACAGGGCUCUUUUGGGUCUUGUAAUUGGAAUGAGUACGAUUUAAACACCCUAACGAGGAACAAUUGGAGGGCAAGUCUGGUGCCAGCAGCCGCGGUAAUUCCAGCUYCAAUAGCGUAUAUUAAAGUUGUUGCAGUUAAAACGCUCGUCGUUGAACCUUGGGCCUGGGCGAUCGGUCCCCCUCACCGGGAGCACUGGUUCGGCCGGGCCUUUCCUUCUGGGGAUCCGCAUGCCCUUCACUGGGCGUGCCGGGGAACCAGGACUUUUACUUUGAAAAAAUUAGAGUGUUCAAAGCAGGCCUUUGCUCGAAUACCUUAGCAUGGAAUAAUAGAAUAGGACGUGCGGUCCUAUUUUGUUGGUUUCUAGGACCGCCGUAAUGAUUAAUAGGGUCAGUCGGGGGCAUCAGUAUUCAAUUGUCAGAGGUGAAAUUCUUAGAUUUAUUGAAGACUAACUACUGCGAAAGCAUUUGCCAAGGAUGUUUUCAUUAAUCAGUGAACGAAAGUUAGGGGAUCGAAGACGAUCAAGGGCUAU